rnacentral:lncRNA from 10 species
UCCAUCUCAAAAACAAAACAAAACAAAACGAAACAAAAAAAACCCACCAAACUAAAGGGCUGUGUGUUUUGUCUCAUCCAAUGAUGGUAAGUGAAGAAGUCAAGUGUCAGGAUGACCCAUCACACGUGACAUUGAAACACAUUUAAGACGACAGUGCACACUGUUUAUGGAUAUCAGUGCACAGGUAAUAUUGAAAAAAUUCUCAUCAAACUCAAAUUGAUUGUUGUUUUGUUCUCAAGAGGAAAAGAAGGAGAGGAAUAAUAUUGUAAUGGUGGUCAAAAGGAG